rnacentral:rRNA from 1 species
GACGUAGGGCGCGAGCGUUGUCCGGAUUUAUUGGGCGUAAAGAGCUCGUAGGCGGCUCGUUGCGUCGGCUGUGAAAACCCGCAGCUCAACUGUGGGCUUGCAGCUGAUACGGGCGGGCUGGGAUUCGGUAGGGGAGACUGGAAUUCCUGGUGUAGCGGUGAAAUGCGCAGAUAUCAGGAGGAACACCGGUGGCGAAGGCGGGUCUCUGGGCCGAUAUCGACGCUGAGGUGCGAAAGCGUGGGGAGCAAACAGG